GAUGAACGCUGGCGGCAGGCUUAACACAUGCAAGUCGAGCGGAGAGAGGUAGCUUGCUACUGAUCUUAGCGGCGGACGGGUGAGUAAUGCUUAGGAAUCUGCCUAUUAGUGGGGGACAACAUUUCGAAAGGAAUGCUAAUACCGCAUACGUCCUACGGGAGAAAGCAGGGGAUCUUCGGACCUUGUGCUAAUAGAUGAGCCUAAGUCGGAUUAGCUAGUUGGUGGGGUAAAGGCCUACCAAGGCGACGAUCUGUAGCGGGUCUGAGAGGAUGAUCCGCCACACUGGGACUGAGACACGGCCCAGACUCCUACGGGAGGCAGCAGUGGGGAAUAUUGGACAAUGGGCGCAAGCCUGAUCCAGCCAUGCCGCGUGUGUGAAGAAGGCCUUAUGGUUGUAAAGCACUUUAAGCGAGGAGGAGGCUACUUUAGUUAAUACCUAGAGAUAGUGGACGUUACUCGCAGAAUAAGCACCGGCUGACUCUGUGCCAGCAGCCGCGGUAACAC
rnacentral:rRNA from 1 species